GAAAUGCGAUAAGUAAUGUGAAUUGCCGAAUUCAGUGAAUCAUCGAAUCUUUGAACGCUCCUUGCGCUCCUUGGUAUUCCUUGGAGCAUGCCUGUUUGAGUAUCAUGAAAUCUUCAAAGUAAAUCUUUUGUUAACUCAAUUGGUUUCUACUUUGGUAUUGGAGGUCUUUGCAGCUUCACACCUGCUCCUCUUUGUUCAUUAGCUGGAUCUCAGUGUUAUGCUUGGUUCCACUCGGCGUGAUAAGUUAUCUAUCGCUGAGGACACUGUAAAAGGUGGCCAAGGUAAAUGCAGAUGAACCGCUUCUAAUAGUCCAUUGACUUGGACAAUACUUUUAUGAUCUGAUCUCAAAUCAGGUAGGACUACCCGCUGAACUUAAGC
rnacentral:misc_RNA from 1 species